AGAGUUUGAUCCUGGCUCAGGAUGAACGCUGGCGGCGUGCCUAAUACAUGCAAGUCGAACGCUUCACUUCGGUGAAGAGUGGCGAACGGGUGAGUAAUACAUAAGUAACCUGGCAUCUACAGGGGGAUAACUGAUGGAAACGUCAGCUAAGACCGCAUAGGUGUAGAGAUCGCAUGAACUCUAUAUGAAAAGUGCUACGGGACUGGUAGAUGAUGGACUUAUGGCGCAUUAGCUUGUUGGUAGGGUAACGGCCUACCAAGGCGACGAUGCGUAGCCGACCUGAGAGGGUGACCGGCCACACUGGGACUGAGACACGGCCCAGACUCCUACGGGAGGCAGCAGUAGGGAAUCUUCGGCAAUGGGGGCAACCCUGACCGAGCAACGCCGCGUGAGUGAAGAAGGUUUUCGGAUCGUAAAGCUCUGUUGUAAGUCAAGAACGAGUGUGAGAGUGGAAAGUUCACACUGUGACGGUAGCUUACCAGAAAGGGACGGCUAACUACGUGCCAGCAGCCGCGGUAAUACGUAGGUCCCGAGCGUUGUCCGGAUUUAUUGGGCGUAAAGCGAGCGCAGGCGGUUUGAUAAGUCUGAAGUUAAAGGCUGUGGCUCAACCAUAGUUCGCUUUGGAAACUGUCAAACUUGAGUGCAGAAGGGGAGAGUGGAAUUCCAUGUGUAGCGGUGAAAUGCGUAGAUAUAUGGAGGAACACCGGUGGCGAAAGCGGCUCUCUGGUCUGUAACUGACGCUGAGGCUCGAAAGCGUGGGGAGCGAACAGGAUUAGAUACCCUGGUAGUCCACGCCGUAAACG
rnacentral:rRNA from 1 species